UUCUGGAAGAAUCAGGAAACACUUGUUUUGCUUCACCUUCUGCACAAGAUACACAGCUGUCUAUCGUAUCUAAUCUUGUCUGUCUCUUUUUCAGGCUGAAGAACCUUUAUGCGUUUAACCGCUCCCUGAAACAGUCCCACAUCCCUGAUUUGAAAAGGCAUUACGCAUCAGGGAAACGAAUUGGGAAUGCUGCUUCCAAAACAUGAUAUAUAAAAACAUAGCUCGCAGCACUGUGAGUGGCCACUGAGGAUGGAAAACGUCCCUCUUGCUACAUGAGGAGGCAGAGGUGUGUGGCUCAGCCUUCCUUCAGAUGAAGCCACAGAAUGCAUCGGGGCUGUAUGGAUUUCACGAUGUCAUGGGAGCAAUGGGAAAGAAAAGGGGGAAAGACUCCUACGGGAUUUGGAUAUCGGAGCAGCCAUGGGAACCGUGAGCCUUUUCUCCUCCCAAGGCUUUUUUCCUCCUGGAUGAUGUGGCAGGAUCAGCGCAUUAAUUUUUCAGGUAACUUCUGCUAGUGGUGGCAGUGGUCCCCUAAGGGAGGUGGCCACACCGUGAGAUGGGAACCCACCUCAUCACACUGACCGUUGGCUGCGAUCAGCUGCGUGUAUUCCACCUGAUCUACCAGAGUGGAGACGAUUACUACAGAAUUCAGGUCCGUCUUAGCAAAAUUGUCAUCUCUGGCAGGAAAAACAGCUUUUGGCUUCUCCUGCUUGGAGAAAACCGGAGCAGAAUCCUAUUUAAUUACUGGCAG